rnacentral:sRNA from 1 species
UCUCAGUGGAGUUUUAGUCUCGAAAGAGA